GAUGAACGCUGGCGGCGUGCUUAACACAUGCAAGUCGAACGAUUAAAGCCCCUUCGGGGGUGUAUAGAGUGGCGAACGGGUGAGUAACACGUGGGCAACCUGCCCUUCACUUCGGGAUAACUCAGGGAAACCUGAGCUAAUACCGGAUACUCCGGGAUGGUCGCAUGGCCGACCCGGGAAAGUUCCGGCGGUGCGGGAUGGGCCCGCGGCCCAUUAGCUUGUUGGUGAGGUAACGGCUCACCAAGGCGACGAUGGUUAGCCGAGCUGAGAGGCUGAUCGGACACACUAGGACUGAGACACGGCCCAGACUCCUACGGGAGGCAGCAGUGGGGAAUCUUGCGCAAUGGGCGAAAGCCUGACGCAGCAACGCCGCGUGCGGGAUGAAGGCCUUCGGGUUGUAAACCGCUUUCAGCAGGGACGAAAAUGACUGUACCUGCAGAAGAAGCCCCGGCUAACUACGUGCCAGCCGCCGCCGUAAUAC
rnacentral:rRNA from 1 species